rnacentral:rRNA from 1 species
ACGCUUGGUCAUUUAGAGGAAGUAAAAGUCGUAACAAGGUCUCCGUUGGUGAACCAGCGGAGGGAUCAUUAAAGAGUUGUAAAACUCCCAAACCCAUGUGAACAUACCUGUUGCCUCGGUGGGCUACCCGGUAGCUACCCUGUAGCUACCCUGUAGUUUGCCGAAGGAACUCUAAACUCUUGUUUAUCAGUAUCAUCUCUGAAUAUAACUUUUAAAUAAGUCAAAACUUUCAACAACGGAUCUCUUGGUUCUGGCAUCGAUGAAGAACGCAGCGAAAUGCGAUAAGUAAUGUGAAUUGCAGAAUUCAGUGAAUCAUCGAAUCUUUGAACGCACAUUGCGCCCACUAGUAUUCUGGUGAGCAUGCCUGUUCGAGCGUCAUUAAGUCCACUUAAGCCACCUUGCUUAGUGUUGGGAGCCUACAUCUACGUAGCUCCUCAAAGACAGCGGCGGAGUCGUAUUAACCUCUGAGCUUAGUAACUACUUUCUAGCUUGCGAGUGUAGUGCGUCCCCUGCCGUAAAACACCCAUCUUUUUAUGGUUGACCUCGGAUCAGGUAGGAAUACCCGCUGAACUUAAGCAUAUCAAUAAGCGGAGGAA